GGAGAGUUUAUAGUCCUGAGAGUUGAACACUGGAUGACUGACAGCUGUCCUUCAUCACAACAGAAGACACAGAAAUCCUCCUCAUCAAAAACAUGACUUUGAUCUGCGUCCUCAUCUGGACUCUCCUCUGCUUCACUCAGGGGUCUGAUGGACAAAAUGUUGUUAUGACUCAGUCAGCAGCCAAAUCAGUGCAGCUCGGCCAGACUGUUACUAUUGACUGUAAGGCCAGUCAGGCACUUUUAACAUCUUCUUGCAUCUCCAAUUCACAGGUCUGCCUGUCCUGGUACCACCAGAAACUUAGAGAAGCUCCUAAAGCUCUGAUCUAUGGAACAUCAUCUAGAUUUUCAGGAAUCUCCUCCAGGUUCAGUGGAAGUGGAGCAGGGAAUGGAUUAGACUUCACUCUGACCAUCAGUGGAGUCCAGGCUGAAGAUGUAGGAGUUUAUUACUGUCAGAGUUAUCAUUACAUCAACAGUCAGUCUGUGUUCACACAGUGAAAAACCAUCGUACAAAAA